rnacentral:lncRNA from 1 species
UCAUUGCAACAUGUAAGCAAUAUAAAAAUUAUCAAUGGGAUAUUUUACUUUUUUUUUCUAAAUCUUCAAAAUCUGCUGUGCAUGUUACCCUUUCAUGCAACAUGACCCCUGCAGACCAGCCAUAUUUCCAGUGCUCAGUAGCCAAGUGUGGCUGGUGGCUUCUAGAUUGGACAAGACAGCCCUAGGGGAUCCUCUCCAUCCUCACUGUGUGAAUGUCAUCUGUAUUACCAGGACACAGAAAUCUUUUUCACCAGUCUGGAGCUCUCUUUUGAACUCCAGAUUCUUGUAUACAUUUGGUGCCCCAAAGACACAUCAAACUUCAAAGGGAAUAUCAUGGGGUGGGCCGGGUUUGCAACUUCAUAUAGCAUGACCAGGGAAGGACCCUGGGAGGAAAUGGUAUUUGAACAGGGAUCUGAAGGCAGGGAGGAAAUGCGCUCUGUAGCUGUCUUGGGGAAAGCCCAGUGGGCAGGUAAAAGGGCAAGUACACCCAUCUUGAGCCGGGAGCAAGCCUGGCAUGUCCCAAGAACAGGAGGGAGGGGGCUGAGCUGGGAGAGAGUGGCGAGGCGUUGACUCUUGGCCUGUGUGAGUCAGGGAAGUCAUGGGAGUAAGGGUGGAGGAAUGGCAAGUUCUGAUGUCUAUUCUAAAAUGAUGCUGUGGUUCAGGGUAAAGAAACAACCAGAGGGCCAAGAGUGGAAGCAGGGAGGUGAGGCAGGAGGCUGUUGCAGUGGCUCUGGGAGAGGUGGUGGAAGCGUGGACAAUGCCGUGGAGGAAGGAAGACACCUACGCUUGGAGGCUGGAUCUGUUUGUAAGAUGCAGGCCACAGGGAUUGGUGAAGAAUUGGGUGUGGGCUUUGAGAGAACCAGAGGAGUCAGGGUGAUUCUAGAGUCCUUAAAGGAUGGUCAGGUUCCAGUAGCCUCUGACUGAGGAGGUAAGAUGCAGAGGCCUGGCUGCCAGAGCCCCACAUGAGAUGACGCUGAGGAGCUAGCUGAGUUCCAACAACUCUGUGGUGUCAGCCAAGCCACAUCACAGCUCCACCUCUCCCCUGCCCCAUCCUGCCUCCCUCCCCGUUUCCCACAGGUGUUUGUCUCAAGGCAUUCCUCUUAAGCGUCCUGCUUCAUAAACUCCUUCUGAGAGUCUGCUUCCUGGAGAGCUCAACCUUCACCACUCACCCCCAAGAUCCAACUCAUAAAUUCUCCUGGACACUGCGAUGAGGCAGCUGGCUUUCUCCCUGGCACCAGCCCCAAGGGAGCCAGCCUUUGCCUAUAAUUGAUUCCUGGCCCUGACCCCCUCCUCCUGCCAGAGGCCCAUGCAGCCCAGAGGCUCCAGUGGCAAUGACCAUGUUGAGAUGCUUAAAUCCUGCCAUCUUGGCUUUUUCCAUUAUUUUUUAAACCUUGGGGGCCAUGGUAUCCAAGGUCCAUAGACACUGGGUGGCCAGUGAUAAGAGGUCCCUGUCACUCUGCCCCAGGAACAACUGACACCAGGCCUGGGCAGCCCUUCUUCCCCCUACAGGGGCCCUUGCUCCCUUUUGUCUUGACAAGAGGCCCCACCUCAUCCCAAGAGGUGCAGGAGGCCAGACUUUGCAGAGUAGCUGGCCAGAAUCAAGAGACCACAAUGAAUUUGUUUCUAAUGAUCGCUCCUUUUUGCUCCACCUGAGAUUGCCAGUAGAAGGGUCUGUUAAGACAAAUCUGAGUGAGUCGUUGCAUCUGGGAACCUGUACUGUCUCCUGAAUGUUCUCAGGUGAUAGCCCAAACCUGUGCUGAGAAAAGAAAUAAAGACAAGAAAGUUAGACAGGGCCCUCACUGGACAGAGGAUAACUGGCCAGCCCAACACUCCAGAUUUCAAUUUCCAUUGAGACUAAAGGGCCAUAGCGUAGGAGCAAUAGGCAGCUGGGCCGGAGUGGCCUCAGUGAGUCAAUGCAGGGAUAUUCACUGAGCAUGUAGCUUGGGCCAGGGACUGCUUAAAAGGAAGCUGCUGGGGGAACACCGACCAUGGUCCUCAGCAGAGCAGGAAGCUGGGAUCCCAGGAGCCAUGGCAAGCUCCAGAUGAGAAGUGAGUACAAACUUGCAGAACAGACAAAGAGUGAGGAAGUGGAGGCUAGGUCAAAAAGCGGAGAGUAAAGCAGGCUUCUGUCCUUCAAGGCCCAGCCCAGAAGACCCUAUGCCCAGUGAUAUAAGAUCCUCAUCACUCUGCCCCAGGAACAACUGGUAUGAUCCAUGAGCAGUCCUGGGCAGGGCAAAUACCUGGGCUUUGAGUACUGAAUAAGGUGCGAUGCACAGUCCCUAAGAAUCAUGAUGACAUCCUUAGAGUGUUAUCUUAAGGUAGCCCUGUUUAGUCCUUGCCUCUUAUCCACCCGCUACAAAGAGCAGUCAGUUUAAAAAAUGGCUUGGCUCACAGAUCAGGAACCCCUCAAGAGCAAAGACCUACCUCCCCCACUGCAGCCCAGCAACCUGUAGGGUUUUCCUGCAGUCGAACAAGUGUAGCUGGAAUUGCAUUCACCCACCUGUUCCUGAGUUCUCCUGGGACACAAUGUUGGAUUGGUGGGCACUAGUAUAUUCUUUUCACAAGUGCUGGAAUAUCACUAUUUCAAACAGCUUAAUGAUCAUUGUACAUGUGCCCUGAGCAAGGCUGCAUGAAUAACUAAAAUGUCAAAUGUCUUUGUUUUAGCUGCGAUUCUAUCAACUCUGCAGGUCUCAUAAGCAUGAGCCACAUGCCAAUUAGAAUCUCUGAUGGUCAAGUAUAAAUGUCUUUGUUUCAUAAAAAUGAAAGAAUGAGUUCAUUAUCACUUAACUCCCUCUAGAAGAAAUAAUCUUUUAAAAACUUAAGAUCCAUAAGGAGGAAAGAUGGGUUGUUAAAGCAGGUCCUCCCUAAAGAUUGCUUCCUUGCCUGUGAAUAGAAUGAAUCCAAUGGCAUCAUUUCCUAGAACCAAGUUGAAUUUCCCACUGGAACCAGAAUUCCAGAAAGCCCUGGACAUCACUCUACAUGUCAAGGCUGCAGACACACACACAUCAAUUCUGAAAGAGGGAGGAUUCCAAGAGUGAUGGUGCCUGCAGGGCCUUCUGAGAUAAGAUGAGGAGUCUUUCUGGUUUCCAAGGGGAGGAACCCAAGCUACAGUCUCACUGGCACCAAAGAUUAGAGAGGUUAGUGAUUGAGGACCCAGGGAGGCAGCUGCUCUCUGAAGACUCUUCCCUAGUGGAGCUAUACCUCAGCUCAAAAAGGCAACCACAAAUCUUGUGUCCAGCACAGCUCCAAUUCAAGCAAAUUUCAUUCUCUUUCACCAAGGAAAGUCUAUACACAUACACAUGUAUAUACACACAUGUAUGUAUAUAUGUUUAUAUAUGUGUGCAUGCAUACAUACAUACAUAUGCAUGUGUAUAAAAUGGGAUUUGAAUUAUAGACUUAGACCUGUCUUUUCAUCAAAAUAAAUAAACAAACAUGAAUUUACCCAUCAGAAAACUUCAGUUGUCAGGACCUGUGUCUGAUAUUUAGCUGGGGAAAUUUCCCCUGUCACUGGGGUGGUGGAUGUUGUCUCAGAGCUGAACACUGGGCUGGUGGGGUCAUCGGAGGAUGAUGAGGAUGAAUCAAGGCUGUUCUCCCACUUUCUCCAGGGCUGUGCCUGGGACCAUAUGUGUAUGUGUGGCUGAGAGGAGGCAUGGGUCCCAAGACAUGGGUCAUCAGAGACUGAAGCUCUCCAGGGCAGCCUGAGAGAUCUGGCAGGGCUCUGGGGGCGCCUCAGUUUUGUGAAUCACCGCCAUGUGGUGCCUUUGGAGUCAGCCAGCUCUGCCUCCUAACCCCAUCCCCUCACUCACCAGAUGUGUACCUGGGUCUCAAUUUCCCCCAUCUGUCAUUGAGGACAGUCAUACCGACCUCAGGGAGGGAUCAGGUGAGAUAAAUGUGAUGAUGACCAAAAUGCAAGACAAUUACUGAUCAUGAGCAGAUGAAGUCUAGAAAGGGGGAAAUUGGUCCACAGAACACAGUGGGUCAAUGAGGGACUUAGAACGAAAACUCGAGUCUUGGGUUCCCAGGCCAGACCUCCUUUCACUGCACCAGGGAUUUCAAAGUGGGAUCCACAGAUGUACUGUCAGGGGCCCUUGAGUGAUAUGAGAGUCUUUUUUUAUUCUGAUAUUUUCAUUUUAAAAAUUGAAAAAUAUCAGUGAGACCCUAUUGGGGUUGUGUGUGGAUGAUCAUAUUAUCACCAACUAAUGCUUCAGGAAUGCAGAGUUCACAUUUGCAUUUGGGUUUACUAUCAUGUUUUUGCAAAAUGAAGGCCAAAUGACUUCAUGGACUGCUGUACAAACAAAGGUUUAGCAAUUGUUCAAACAGAGAUAAGUGGAGGGAGGAUUGAGUCAUCAAACAGAACAGGGGACACAGACAUGCCACAAAUAAGCUGCUCUGCAUUGAAGCUGGUAGAAUUGUAGUCACUGUUUUGCAAGCAGGUGCCUGAGUGAAUGCCACCUUGGUUUGCAACAACUUGCAAGACAACACUAGCAGCUGGAAAUGGUAAAUGGUAUAUAGUCUUACUAAAUGGUACAUAUUUCUAUAUAUUUUAAAUUAUUAUAUUUUGAAGUGCUCUAUUAAGUUGAUCGCUUCAUCAAAAUUCUAGGUCUGUGUUUAGAAGUGUGUUCAUUGUAAUACAUGAAAAAUAUAAUAAUAUUGAUAAUAACUCUAAUGAUGGUCUAGCAUGUCCAAACAUCAAAAUGAUCUAGUUGAUAACAAGCGGAACUUAAAUGGGAAUGUAUCCUUCUAUUAUUAAACCCAACGUUGGUUGUUUUACUUUCAGCAAAACAUCAUCUGUCACAUUAAAUUAAUGCCAUUAAUUUGAAUUUUAAUGGUUUUGUAGCUUUAUUUGCAUUUAAUUUGUAAUUGUGUUUUGGUUUUACAGCUGUGUAAGAGCUAAAAGCAUAAGAGAUUUAUACUUACUUUUAUGUUUGUAUAUAUUUAAGUAACAAUAUGAUCAAAAUAAUUCUUAUCAACACUGGGGGUCUGCAAUGAUAGCUUUCCCUUUAGAAGGCAUGUUUUAGUCAACUUUAGGAAUCACUGAGACUGCGCCACAGCACACUGCUCAAUGCACAAGAGGGAUUGCAUUUGAACAGUACUAGGUGGGAUUGGAUCCAGCCCAGUAUGUUGUGGGAAGGGCAUGUGGGGAAAAAAUUCCCCUGGGAAUUUAGGUCCAGGCUUUUCAAAGUGCUGGGUUACUUAGUCACCAUCUCAGAUGACUCAGGGACCCCAAUCAGCUACCAAUAUCUUUUGGCUCUCUUUCUGCUGUUCCUUUACCAAACAAUUUCGUGUAAUUCGGUGAUAAGCCACUGAGAGUUCAGACAGAGAUUCUUAACCUGAAUCCUAUAACAAACUUCGCUGGAGGAGAAACCCACAGCCUUCACCAGAGUGUCACCCGCAUGCUUCCAGCAUCCUCAGAGGAUGGGGCCAGCCCCAAAAUGCUGUGGGGGCAAGGGCUGGUGUGUCCCUGGACCUGACUCUGCAGCAGGCACUUUUUUCCUUGCCUUCCACUCCCACGUAAAAGCCGGCAGAGGAAAGAGACUGGAAAAGGCUGGGUCACUUCCCUGAGAUGCACAGCUGGACACUUACAAUAGACAUAGCACUGAAUCUCGUCGAUUGCUGUCAGCUACAGGUCCUCCCCAGCCUGAAGAGCCAAACUGGUUACCACAGAGGUUCUCGAGGAAGGAACCCAGUCCAGGAGGUCAGAGUCUUGGUUUCCCAAGAUGGCCGGACUACUGAGUUGCUGUGUGACCUUACACAAGUGAUUCAAACUCUCUGAAUCUUCCAGAGCUGAUAGAGCCACCGAAGCAGAGAAGGAGUGGGGGAGGAGAAGUCUGCAAGUGUGCACUGGACCGUGUCCUAAAGUGCCAGCCAGAUGGCCAUCUGUGCGCUUUGGCCUCCCCAGUCCUGCCAGGGAAGGAAGUAUGAAGCCAAAGCCAGAUGAGAGUGAAGACCUGGCCAACAGCCUCUCUGCAGACCCUGCCAAGCACAUGCCACCCCCUCGGUCAUGUGCACACACACACCUGCACACACACACUCUGCUCAGUCCUUCAGCUGGUCAGCGCUGAUGGCUCUUGUGGGGGGCCUCUGCUCUGUCCCGAUCCACCCAUGCUCACAGUCCCCCCUGCAGAAGCACUAGUAAUGCUCAGAGGACUUUCCAAAGCCCCUACGGAACCCAGGGACUGCUCACCCGUGGCUGUUGGUUAUGUCAGAUAUCGGAGAACCAGCCCCAAAGACAGGCUACUGUUGUGGGAAAGCCCAGAACAUAAGACUGCAAGGUCUGGUUCUUUCUGGAAUCACUGCACUCCCUGGAGAAGGCCACACCCCUUCCUCUUUCAGGCUUUAGCUGCGGCAUCUGUAAAAUGGUGAUCCUAACCCCUGUCCUGCCUGCCUUAUGGAGACAGUGAGGAUUAAAUGUGUGUUAGAAAGGAAAGCUCCCUGUAGGUAAGAAAGUGUUGAGCAGACCUCACAACCAAUGCUUUCCGUAUGUGCUUCCAGGAUUUCAGGGAGAUUUUUCUAUUUUCCAUGGGUGUGAUAUGUCUCCAUACAGCCUGGAGCCUAGUAUUUGUGCAGAUAGUCAGGACUGGAAGAGCUCAGAUGUUGGAGAAUUUACUGCAGGCUGGUCCUGUAUAUUGUAUCGGCUUGUCACCUUCCUCGUUCUGCACACUGGAUCUCUGUUAACAUAGCCCCUGACUCUCACAGAACUUAUUGUCAGCUCUAACCCUGUGCUUGUUUUCUGCACUCUGCUGCUAACAUUCCCAGCCCUUGUAUGGAUAGGCCUGGGGCCUCAUGGCACCCUGUUCCCAGGCCUGCAGAAAUCUGCUCUCUGGGAGCACCUCCACCAGACCUGGCUGACCGUGUCCCUGAGCCAGAAGGGGAUUAGAGGCCCCCACUGAGCUGGAGCUGGAGAUUUGGAACAGAAUACCCCCUCCCUUUCAGCUGGGCAAAAAGGAGAAGGAGCAGAGCCAACAGCCCCAGGGCUUCCUGAAGAAACUUUGCACCAGGAGCCUCCCAUUUCCUGGGCUUCUGCUGAUGGAACAAACUUUCCUCGGCCCUUGGCGGCCCAGAUUCUGGAACAGGCUACUCUGCAGUCAGGCACUGUGUGGGGGAAGGGGUGUCAGCCUGGGAUGGCAAGGACAAAGCCCCAGCCCAUGCUGCUCCCCAAUCUCUCCUUCCACCCAACUUGCUCUGUGGCCUCCAGCAAGGCCCUUCUCUUCCUGGGGCCUUAAUUUCCUCAGCUGUAGAAUGAGUCAGGGAAAUAAGAUUGGUCCGGUGAAAUGUCACAGUUGAGUGGGUCUUACAGAGGCAGAUUCUACAUGGAGAAGGGGUGUGGAGCACCACCAUCUUUUCUGAUUCCACUCUCACUUCCCAGCUCUCACAGCCUUAAAGCAAACUCCAGCUGCCCAGACCUCCACUGUGUGCCCUGGGCUCUGGGCCUUGGCUGAUCUGGUAAAUGCUGCCCCCACACGCCAAAAGGACAGAGGAAACAACUAAGAGAGUCCCCAAGGCCCAAGGCUGGAACAAUUUGAGCAACAAAAUACAUCAUGAGAGUAUCAAAUUAUAACUCCUAGAAUAAAAUAAAAAUCCAGGAGUCCACAUGGUUAUAAAUAAGUACCUGAAUAAAUAAAUAAAUGAAGGCAGCUCUUCCUUACAGAAGAGUUCCAAUUAAUAAAUGUGACAUGAACAAGGGAAAUAAAAAAACACCAUUAGAACACCACAGUAAUAAUUAUUGCAGACAAGACGCACUGAUGUAUGCUAAAAUUAAUGGGUGAAAGUUUGAGGAGAAGCAGCAUGUUCGAAUUGUCUCAAAGUAUCUCCCCCAAGAGAUUUACUAAUUAUAAAGGGGAAAGAAAAUACAGUAAUCUGCAGUGGAGAAACCCAGUAGGUGCCACCUUAAUCAAGUGACCAAGUUAACAUCACCAGUAAUAAGACGUAGCAACAUCACCACACGCCCCGAUAGGAUGCACAGAGAAGACAUUUCAUGUAUAUAGUAUUCUUGCCAAAAAAUGCAUAACAUCAAUUUCAUCAUGGGGGGACAAUCAGACUGAGGGGCAUUCUACAAAAUCACCCAUCAGUACCCUUUCAAAUGUCAAGGUCAUGGACGGCAAGGAUGCUCUGAGGAACCAUCACAGAUUGGAGGGGAUUAAGGAGAAUGACAGCUAAAUGAAACGUGAGAGCCUGGAUUGGAUCCUGGAAUAGUGGAAGGAUAUUAAGAGAAAAACUGGUGAACUCUGAAUCAAGUCUGUAUUUUAGUAACAGUAUUGCCCAAUGUUGUUAAUGUAAUGAUUUUGAUAAAUUAUACAAGAUGCUAACAUUAGGGAAAGCUAGGUGAAGGUGUACA